rnacentral:rRNA from 1 species
UACAGAGGGGGCAAGCGUUGUUCGGAAUUACUGGGCGUAAAGGGCGCGUAGGCGGCCCGCUAAGUCGAACGUGAAAUCCCCGGGCUCAACCCGGGAACUGCGUCCGAUACUGGCAGGCUUGAAUCCGGGAGAGGGAUGCGGAAUUCCAGGUGUAGCGGUGAAAUUCGUAGAUAUUCGGAGGAACACCAGAAGCGAAGGCGGCUCGCUGGCCCGAGACUGACGCUGAGGCGCGAAAGCGUGGGGAGCAAACAGGG